GGAAGUGAAGGCGAUCUGGCUGCAACAUCUAUCACCCCAUUAAAUGCCAAGGUUGAUUCAGCUACUCUGACUGGCCUAUUCCAUUCCUCCCUCAAUGCUCCAUGUAUAUCCCUUCUAAAACUGUGCGCUUGGUGGAAAUCAAGACACUCUCCUGCUAGAACCUCCAAACAAGCUUUCAAGAAAGUUGUGGUAUAUACACAAAAUGGACUACUAGUCACCUAUAAGAAAUUAUGAAAUUUUAUCCUUUUCCAUAUCUUGGAUGGAAUUUAGAGGAGUCAUAUUAUGUGGGAUAAGCUGUCAGACUCU
rnacentral:snRNA from 1 species